UGAACGCUGGCGGCGUGCUUAACACAUGCAAGUCGCACGAGAACGUUUCAGCUUGCUGAAACUAGUAAAGUGGCGUACGGGUGAGUAACGCGUGGGUAAUCUACCUCCGAAUUGGGGAUAACAUUGCGAAAGCGAUGCUAAUACCGAAUGAUAUCUCAAUAACUCCGGUCUUUGAGAUCAAAGGUGGCCUCUCCAUGGAAGCUACUGUUUGGAGAUGAGCCCGCGUACCAUUAGCUUGUUGGUAGGGUAACGGCCUACCAAGGCGACGAUCGGUAGCUGGUUUGAGAGGAUGACCAGCCACACGGGGACUGAGACACGGCCCCGACUCCUACGGGAGGCAGCAGCAAGGAAUAUUGGGCAAUGGGCGAAAGCCUGACCCAGCGACACCGCGUGGGGGAAGAAGGCCCUUGGGUUGUAAACCCCUUUUAUCGGGGAAGAAUAAUGACGGUACCCGAUGAAUAAGCCUCGGCUAACUACGU
rnacentral:rRNA from 1 species